rnacentral:rRNA from 1 species
UACAGAGGUCUCAAGCGUUGUUCGGAUUCAUUGGGCGUAAAGGGUGUGUAGGUGGCGCGCUAAGUCGGGUGUGAAAUUUCGGAGCUUAACUCCGAAACUGCAUUCGAUACUGGCGUGCUUGAGGACUGGAGAGGAGACUGGAAUUCGUGGUGUAGCAGUGAAAUGCGUAGAGAUCAUGAGGAAGACCAGUGCGAAGGCGGGUCUCUGGACAGUUCCUGACACUGAGACACGAAGGCCAGGGGAGCAAACGGG